GCUUCUUCGCGCCUCCCGGCCCCGGCCUGGCGUCCGUGGGGCGCUGUGCGUCUCCGAGAACGAAGCGGCCUCCGGGUUCGUGUGCUCCGAGCCCGAGUACUGUUUGCGGCCGUCGUCCCGUCCUGGAGCAGGAGUGAGGAAGCGCCUCUCACUCCCCCGCGAACCCGCAGAACAGGCCGCCGGCGCUAUGGAGACCGGCGGAGCUUCCCGCUCCUUCACCAAGGGGCCCUGACGCGCAGUUGAAAGCGCGGAUUUUGCCGGGCGCGGCGGCUGCGUCCGGAGUCCCAGCGCCUUGGGAGGCGAGGCGGGAGGAUCCCCACGGCCCGGGAGCUCGAGACCAGCCCGGGCAAAUAUUUUGAAAGUCAUGAGCGGGACGGAAGGUGGGACUGGGAGAGCUGUUCUCGGGCAGGUGGACGCUGUGGAUUAGCGGAGAGGGAAGGCACUUUCGUUCUCGGCACCGUGAGGCUGUCCUGGUCAAUCCUGUUUUCAUGCUUGAGGGUCUCUGGUGCAGCAGCUCCACCAGCCUUGACACCAGGACUUCUGUGGAAUCCAGACGGAAGCUUGUGUAGAGGCCGCCAAGUUCCAACAAAUGCUCCCGACUGUAGACGCCACCAAGUGCUGGGACUUGCUCUCGUCAUCUGGGAAAGGCUU
rnacentral:lncRNA from 1 species